rnacentral:rRNA from 1 species
UGGGGGAAUAUUGCACAAUGGGGGAAACCCUGAUGCAGCAACGCCGCGUGAAGGAUGAGGGCCUUUUGGGUCGUAAACUUCUGUCCUUGGGGAAGAUAAUGACGGUACCCUUGGAGGAAGCCCCGGCUAACUACGUGCCAGCAGCCGCGGUAAUACGUAGGGGCAAGCGUUAUCCGGAAUUAUUGGGCGUAAAGAGUGCGUAGGCGGUUUUUUAAGCGCGGGGUGAAAGGCAAUGGCUUAACCAUUGUUAGCCCUGCGAACUGGGAGACUUGAGUGCAGGAGAGGAAAGCGGAAUUCCUAGUGUAGCGGUGAAAUGCGUAGAUAUUAGGAGGAACAC